GGGGGUGUAGCUCAGCUGGUUAGAGCGCAUGCCUGUCACGCAUGAGGCCGCGGGUUCAAGUCCCGUCACUCCCG
rnacentral:tRNA from 1 species